UACGAAGGGGGCUAGCGUUGCUCGGAAUCACUGGGCGUAAAGCGCACGUAGGCGGCUUUCUAAGUCAGGGGUGAAAUCCUGGAGCUCAACUCCAGAACUGCCUUUGAUACUGGAGAGCUCGAGUCCGGAAGAGGUGAGUGGAACUGCGAGUGUAGAGGUGAAAUUCGUAGAUAUUCGCAAGAACACCAGUGGCGAAGGCGGGUCACUGGUCCGGUACUGACGCUGAGGUGCGAAAGCGUGGGGAGCAAACAGG
rnacentral:rRNA from 1 species